rnacentral:rRNA from 1 species
AGUCGGGGCCUAAGGCGAGGACGAGAGUCGUAGCCGAUGGACAACAGGUGGAGAUUCCUGUACUGCGGUAUGACAGAACUGUGGGGACACGUAAGGAAAGCGGAAGCCGGGAAUGGAGAGCCCGGUGCAAGCGGGGUACCAGUCACUUUGGCGAAUCCGGGUGGCAAUGGGAAGCCGUGAUGCGGAGCGAAAUAAAGUAGUGAAGUCCGUGAGCCAUGCGUCAAGAAAAGCCGCUAUUGUUUGUACCGUACCCGUACCGUAAACCGACACAGGUGGAUGAGGAGAGAAUCCUAAGGCCGGCGGAAGAAGCAUUGUCAAGGAACUCGGCAAAAUGGCCCCGUAACUUAGGGAUAAGGGGUGCCUCAGAAAUGAGGCCGCAGAGAAUAGGCUCAAGCAACUGUUUGGCAAAAACACAGGUCUAUGCGAAACCGAAAGGUGAGGUAUAUGGGCUGACGCCUGCCCGGUGCUGGAAGGUUAAGAGGAGAGGUUAGCGCAAGCGAAGCUUUGAAUUUAAGCCCCAGUAAACGGCGGCCGUAACAAUAACGGUCCUAAGGUAGCGAAAUUCCUUGUCGGGUAAGUUCCGACCCGCACGAAAGGCGUAAUGAUUUGAGCGCUGUCUCGACAAUGCAUCCGGUGAAAUUGAAGUACCAGUGAAGAUGCUGGUUACCUGCGCCAGGACGGAAAGACCCCAUGGAGCUUUACUCCAGUUUGGUACUGGGACUCGGUAUUGCAUGUACAGGAUAGGUGGGAGGCUAGGAGAUAGUAACGCCAGUUAUUAUGGAGCCGCUGUUGGGAUACCACCCUUGCAGUAUUGGGUUUCUAACCAGCCGCCGUGACCCGGCGGUGGGACAAUGCCAGACGGGGAGUUUGACUGGGGCGGUCGCCUCCGAAAGGGUAUCGGAGGCGCCCAAAGGUUCCCUCAGAAUGGACGGAAACCAUUCGAAGAGUGCAAAGGCAGAAGGGAGCUUGACUGCGACACCGACGGGUGGAGCAGGUACGAAAGUAGGGCUUAGUGAUCCGGUGGUAUUAAGUGGGAAUGCCAUCGCUCAACGGAUAAAAGCUACCCUGGGAUAACUGCUUAUCACUCCCAAGAGUUCACAUCGACGGAGUGGUUUGGCACCUCGAUGUCGGCUCAUCGCAUCCUGGGGCUGUAGUAGGUCCCAAGGGUUGGGCUGUUCGCCCAUUAAAGCGGUACGCGAGCUGGGUUCAGAACGUCGUGAGACAGUUCGGUCCCUAUCCGGCGUGGGCGUAGGAUAUCUGAGAGGAGCUGUCCUUAGUACGAGAGGACCGGGAUGGACGGGCCGCUGGUGCAUCGGUUAGACUGCCAAGUCUACGGCCGAGUAGCCAAGCCCGGAAGGGAUAAACGCUGAAGGCAUCUAAGCGUGAAGCCCCCCUUAAGAUGAGAUAUCCCAUUCGAAAGAAGUAAACCCCCUUGAAGACGACGAGGUAGAUAGGGCAGAGGUGGAAGUGUGGCAACACAUGGAGCUGACUGCUACUAAUCGGGUGAGGGCUUGAUC